ACACGACUACAUUAGAUACCCCCGUAGUCCUAGGCGUAAAUGAUGCGAGUUAAGUNUGGGGGCAUCUACGAGAUGGCCCUGUGCUGUAGGGUAGCCGUUAAACUCGCUGCCUGGGGAGUACGGUCGCAAGGCUGAAACUUAAAGGAAUUGGCGGGGAGCACCACAAGAGGUGGAGGCUGCGGUUCAAUUGGACUCAACGCCGGGAAGCUCACCGGAUAAGACAGCGGAAUGAUUGCCGGGCUGAAGACCCUGCAUGACCAGCUG
rnacentral:rRNA from 1 species